rnacentral:misc_RNA from 1 species
GGGGUCACCUGCAGCCAUAACUCUGAUCAGUUUUAUGAACUCUUGCUCACUUGACACUUUCCAUGGGUGAAUUGCAGGUGCCUCAGCUGAAUAGAAUGUCGUUAAAUUGCCAGGAGACUUCUUCUUGUAAAUCAUCGAAUUCAAUACUGAAUCGAAAUUCUGUGGAGAAUCCAUAGCCGUAAAAAACAUUGGCAUUGCAACCUUGUGAUGCACGUCUAGAUUCCCUACUAGAUUAAUGAGGUCGACAAAGUCGGAUACAAAACGACGGGGUAUGUAGAAUAUCUCCGAACUGCAUAUCGUCAAGGUCUCGUCACUUCUCAUUGUCUCUUUGUAAUUGACUUGCAAAUGUACCGGCAUUGUUGCUACCACUUUCUUAACAACGUCAGCUUGCUUCACAAACCAGUCCGAUUUGUUAGCUACUGGAACAGCGUGCCAUGACUUGGAUACCUUGUUUCCUAUCCAGAGCUUUGACUUAUCUGCUUGAAGUAAGUUCCAGUAAUU